AAAAGUACUUGCGGAUUUUG
rnacentral:miRNA from 3 species